CCUACGGGAGGCAGCAGUGAGGAAUAUUGGUCAAUGGGCGCGAGCCUGAACCAGCCAAGUAGCGUGAAGGAUGACUGCCCUACGGGUUGUAAACUUCUUUUAUAUGGGAAUAAAGUGAAGCAUGUGUGCCUUUUUGUAUGUACUAUAUGAAUAAGGAUCGGCUAACUACGUGCCAGCAGCAGCGGUAAUACGGAGGAUCCGAGCGUUAUCCGGAUUUAUUGGGUUUAAAGGGAGCGUAGAUGGGUUGUUAAGUCAGUUGUGAAAGUUUGCGGCUCAACCGUAAAAUUGCAAUUGAUACUGGCAGUCUUGAGUACAGUUGAGGUAUGCGGAAUUCGUGGUGUAGCGGUGAAAGGCUUAGAUAGCACGAAGAACUCCGAUUGCGAAGGCAGCUUACUAAACUGCCACUGACAUUGAUGCUCGAAAGUGUGGGUAUCAAACAGGAUUAGAUACCCGUGUAGUC
rnacentral:rRNA from 1 species